rnacentral:rRNA from 1 species
CGAACGGGUGAGUAACGCGUGAGGAACCUGCCUCAAAGAGGGGGACAACAGUUGGAAACGACUGCUAAUACCGCAUAAGCCCACAGGUCGGCAUCGACCAGAGGGAAAAGGAGCAAUCCGCUUUGAGAUGGCCUCGCGUCCGAUUAGCUAGUUGGUGAGGUAAUAGCCCACCAAGGCGACGAUCGGUAGCCGGACUGAGAGGUUGAACGGCCACAUUGGGACUGAGACACGGCCCAG